UAUUAUUACUUCACUUUAGUUUCCAUCUUCCUCCGAAAGGAGGCGGAGGUCAAGUCAAAUACGAUCUACGGAUCUAGGAGUUUUCUUGAAGUUUUCGUGUUGGUCUUUGGAUCAGGAAGGUGAUGAUCUCUGUGAAGUGUCUGGAUUCAGGUUUUGGGUCUGUUACUAUGAAUUUGUUUUAUCUGUUUAUGUUGACUUUUCUCCUGGAACUGUGAUUCUUCGAUGAUCCAGAUUUAAUGUUAUUCUCUGUAACUGAAUCGAGAGAGGUCUCUUACGAUCUAAGGUUCCAUAAGGGAUUACUAAAAGAUGUGAGUCUGUUUAUCUUUUGUCUUCUGGUUUUAGAUGGAAGAUUGUUGUUGGAUUUUUAGACAACUCCAUUUUCGAUUCUAUGUCUUUAAUAGGUAGAAGGAGGUGAUGAUUGUGGAUCGAAGUUUGAAGCGGAAUCUGGGUUUUUCUUUCACGGUUGUAAAUAUGUAUGUUGGAGUAUAUAAUUGUGGUUCUUUUAUGAUCUUAAUUUAGUGAUCUAAAUUCUAAGUGGAUCUGAAUUUAAUGAUCUGAUUGUUACUAGAUCGAGAUCGAAGGAUAUGAUGGAUGUGUGUGAAGUUAAGGUGGUGGCGGAUUCAGGUUUUUGGUCAAAGAUCGGUUAUCUUUUUAUGUUUCAUGCUGUACAUAUGCUAUUGUUUAGCUGCAGAUUUUGAUGAUGAAAAUUUCUUUGGUAGUAGAUCUAAGGGAAGGUUUAUAUGUGAAGGGAUUUAUUCAAGGAGUUUCAUACCUUCUGGAGGCGAGGUUUGGUGAAGAUACUGCUGUACAUUUUUUUUUUGGAGAAGAUUUAAGUAAUUUGAAGAACUCAUUUUUUUUUUUAUGACUCAAUGGGAUUAUCAUUCUUCAAUUCAAUUUUUGUGUAGACACUAUUAAACAGUGGAGGACCUUAGCGGACUACACCAGCUGCAUUCUAAGAAUAAGUUCUUUUUUUCGCGCUCUUAAGUUUGUUGUACAUGCUAAUUUAAACUUUAUGAUGUCUAUGUCUUUAUAUUGUUUAAUUUGUUGUUCAAUAGGUUUGCGUUUGACAACAAUUGUUGAACAGGGGAAGUAUUUAUGAAUUUCCCCAGAGUUCCUGUAAUUUGUAAAUGACAUUGCUGAUUUCUUAUGUUACUUUGUGUGGAUAAAGGUUACGUUGAGUUUUGGCUUUUUUUUUUUUUUUUUGCAGUCGUCUAUAUGUCUAUAUUUUUGGGUCCAUGUCUGCUCUUGUGAAUGCUAAUUCUUCUAUUAUUCUACUGAUAAGGGUGUUCAUUGUGACUGUUAAAUUGACUGGUUUUUGUAAGCAUCAUCUUUGAUUCUCGCACACCACAUCUGCCUUUGUCAAAAUUUGGAGCGGAUUCUAGUAUAUAACUGCGAUUAUUUGGUAAAUAACUGCGAUUCUGCAAAGUAUGAUUGUUAUUAGAUUGACUUUAUUGAAGAAUAGAUGUUUCCUUGGACUCUAUAGAAGUUGUAGCCAUGGAUUGAAGGUGGUGGUUCAGGAAUUGGUGUGGAUUCAGGUUUUAGGGCAAACAUUGUUAUCCUUUUCUGUUUCAUUGCCUUGUACUCUAGCUGUAAUCUUUGAUAUGAAACUGCCCUAUUCUUAUUUAUUUGGUAGUAGAUCGGAAGGAAGAUCUCUCAAUGUGAAGGGAUUUAUGUAAAGAGUCUUUUCUUAUCCUUCUGGAGGUAGGGUUUGGUGAGGAUACUUACUGCUCUACUUUGUUUUUGGAGUAGCUAUUCAUUUGGUGGAAUAUAAGAAGUAUGAAGAUCUAAUAUGAAAAAUUGAAGCUUUAUAUGGUUCAGUUGGGUUAUUUCUUAUUAUCCUCCAGUUCCAAUUUUGUCUGUUAAGUAGGGUUGUUGAUGAGAUAGUGUGAUGAUGAUCCUAGUCGCCUUCAAGGAUUGAUGCAAAUUCAGGUUUUUAGGGCUCUAUAGCUCUAGUUAAUUUUUUUUCUGUGUUUCUUUGCCCUUUCUAUUGUGGUGCAUACCUGAAGAAGAAAUUAUUCGUAGGAGUUGAAUUGAGAGGUGAAGGAUAUUUUUGGGCAAUAUGGUUGCUUCCAAAGAAUAGUUUCGACUCAACUCUCAAUGCUGGCGCUGGCAUCAUAUUGUGAUGUGUUGAGUAGUUAUUUGGUUACUGAAUAGAUUUCCUUGACCAAAUCUUAUCUGGUUUAUAGUUCAACAGGGGUAAACCCUUAUUUCUCUGUUGAUGUGUUGCGUUGUUUUCAGGAGAGCCAGAGGAUUUGGAAAGGCAGCUGUUCGUUGACAUAGUUGGAUAGAUUGGUUUCCUUGCUGGGAUGGGAAACAUGACUGUACUUUGCUUCUAGAUGUUUAUAUAAGAUUUUAAUUUCUUUGCUCGGGAAAGAAUGUUUGGUUGCUAUCUGUCUUUUGACUCAUCUUAUGUUUCCCAGCUGACUAAUAAGUGACUGUUCCUGUGAUUUGCAGUCAGGGUGCUUGAUUCCGUUUACUGCAGUUAUUUCUCGUGCAUGGUAUCGUGACUUGUCCCCAUAUUUGAGUCUGAUGCAUGUACUUUCCAUACCUCUAGUUCACUCUCUCUGCCUGCUACUUGGAGGAACGUUUUUUUCUCCUAUGUUGAGGUUUUCUUUUAUUUUAGGUUUGUUGGCAUUCAGUUAUUGGUCAAGGAAUGUGUCGAAUUGAUUGGCAUGCUGAGCUUGUCCUAGCUGUGGCAGAGGCCCAAGGAGUGGUUUAAUAUCUUAUUUAACUUCUUCAUUUAUUUUCUACGAUAUACACCAUGGCUUUGUGGUUUUCAGUUAUUUAAAUUGAAAUGCAUGUUCGAUGUUGUGCUUUGGGUUUCAGAGAGCCUGAGGAUUUUGAAAGGGAGCUUGUUCUUUGUCAUAGUUGGAUGGAUUGGUUUCUUUACUGCGAUGUGAAACAUCGACUGUAUUUCUACCUUUGCUUUCAGGGGAUUAUAUCAGUAUUUAGUUUCUUUGCUUGAAAAAUAACUUUUGGAUGCAAUCUGUCUUUUAUCUCUUCUCAUGUUUCCCCCCUUGAGUAAGAAGUGAUUGAUCCUGUGAUUUAUUUGCUUUCAGGCUGCUUGCUUCCAUCUAUUGCGGCGUCUAAAAGUGCGGUUCAAUAUUAAAUAAAGUUGGACAAAACUAUUCCUGAAGUGCACGAGCUUGGUUUUGUGUCGUCUUUUAUUUCUUUACUCUCUCUGCAUGCUACUUGGUGGAACGUCGUUUUUCUUAUAUUGUGGUUUUCUCUUGUUCAAGCUUCACUGGAAUUCAUUAAUUCGUCGAGGAAUGUAUCUGAUUGGCUGCUGAACUUGUUUUAGUUGUGGCAGAAGCUCAAUGGGUGGUUUUGUAUCUUAGAUAUAUUCUUCAACUAUUUUCUUUGAUACAAUACAGCGCUGUGGUUUUCAUUUACAUGUCUGAUGCUGUGCUUUGGAUUUCAGGAGAGCCAGUGGAUUUCGUAAGGGGGCUUGUUCUUUGUCAAUAGUUGGAUAGAUUGGUUUCCUUACUGGGAUGUGAAACAUGACUGUACUUUUUUAUCGUUGCUCUUAGAUGUUCAUAUAAGAUUUUAGUUUCUUUGCUCGGGAAGGAAUUUUUGGUUGCAAUCUGUCUUUUGACUCUUCUUAUCCACCUGACUAAUAAGGUGAUUGUUCCCGUGAUUUGCAGUCAGGGUGCUUGCUUCCGUCUACUGCGGUAAUUUUUCGUGCAUGGUAUCGUGACUUGUCCCCAUAUUUGAGUCUGAUGCAUGGUGCUUGCUUGCAUCUAUUGUGGCGUCUAUUCCUGAAGUGCACGAGCAUGGGUGGCGUCUUUUAUUGCUUUACUCUCUCUGCCCGCUACUUGGUGGAACGUCUUUUUUUUUUUAUAUUGUGGUUUUCUCUUGUUCAAGCUUCAUUGGAAUUCAUUGAUUCAAUGUGGUUUUCUUAUAUGGAGUCUGAUGCAUGUACUUUCCAUACCUCUAGUUCACUCUCUCUGCCUGCUACAUGGAGGAACGUCUUUUUCUCCUAUGUUGAGGUUUUCUUUUAUUUUAGGUUUGUUGGCAUUCAGUUAUUGGUCAAGGAAUGUGUCUGAAUUGAUAGGCAUGCUGAGCUUGUCUUGGCUUAGCUGUGGCAGAGGCCCAACGGGUGGUUUUGUGUCUUGUUUAAUUUCUUCAAUUAUUUUUUUCUAUUUACACCACGGCUUUGUGGUUUUCAGUUAUUUAAAUUGAAAUGCAUGUUCGAUGUUGUGCUUUGGGUUUCAGAGAGCCCGAGGAUUUUGAAAGGGAGCUUGUUCUUUGUCAUAGUUGGAUGGAUGGGUUUCUUUACUGCGAUGUGAAACCUCAACUGUACUUCUACCUUAAAUUUCAGGGGAUUAUAUCAGAAUUUAGUUUCUUUGCUUGAAAAUUAACGAUGCAAUCUGUCUUUUUAUCUCUUCUCAUGUUUCCCUCCCCGAGUAAGAAGUGAUUGAUCCUGUGAUUUAUUAACUUGACUCUCUCUACCCGCUACUUGGUGGAACGUCGUUAUUCUUAUAUUAUGGUUUUCUCUUGUUCAAGCUUCACUGGAAUUCAUUGAUUCGUCGAGGAAUGUAUCUGAUCUGAUUGGCUGCUCAGCUUGUUGUAGUUGUGACAGAAGCUCAAUGGGUGGUUUUGUAUCUUAGAUAUAUUCUUCAAUAUUUUCUUUGAUACAAUACAGCUCUGUGGUUUUCAUUUACAUGUCUGAUGCUGUGCUUUGGAUUUCAGGAGAUCCAGUGGAUUUCGUAAGGGGGCUUGUUCUUUGUCAAUAGUUGGAUAGAUUGGUUUCCUUACCGGGAUGUGAAACAUGACUGUACUUUUUUAUCUUUGCUUUUAGAUGUUCAUUUCAUAUAAGAUUUUAGUUUCUUUGCUCGGGUAAGAAUUUUUGGUUGCAAUCUGUCUUUUGACUCUUCUUAUCCACCUGACUAAUAAGGUGAUUGUUCCCAUGAUUUGCAGUCAGGGUGCUUGUUUCCAUCUACUGCGGUAAUUUUUCGUGCAUGGUAUCGUUACUUGUCCCCAUAUUUGAGUCUGAUGCAUGCACUUUCCAUACCUCUAGUUCACUCUCUCUGCCUGCUACUUGGAGGAACGUUUUUUUCUCCUAUGUUGAGGUUUUCUUUUAUUUUAGGUUUGUUGGCAUUCAGUCAUUGGUCAAGGAAUGUGUCGAAUUGAUUGGCAUGCUGAGCUUGUCCUAGCUGUGGCAGAGGCCCUAGGAGUGGUUUAAUAUUUUAUUUAACUUCUUCAUUUAUUUUCUACGAUAUACACCAUGGCUUUGUGGUUUUCAGUUAUUUAAAUUGAAAUGCAUGUUCGAUGUUGUGCUUUGGGUUUCAGAGAGCCUGAGGAUUUUGAAAGGGAGCUUGUUCUUUGUCAUAGUUGGAUGGAUUGGUUUCUUUACUGCGAUGUGAAACAUCGACUGUAUUUCUACCUUUGCUUUCAGGGGAUUAUAUCAGUAUUUAGUUUCUUUGCUUGAAAAAUAACAUUUGGAUGCAAUCUGUCUUUUAUCUCUUCUCAUGUUUCCCCCCUUGAGUAAGAAGUGAUUGAUCCUGUGAUUUAUUUGCUUUCAGGCUGCUUGCUUCCAUCUAUUGCGGCGUCUAAAAGUGCGGUUCAAUAUUAAAUAAAGUUGGACAAAACUAUUCCUGAAGUGCACGAGCUUGGUUUUGUGUCGUCUUUUAUUUCUUUACUCUCUCUGCAUGCUACUUGGUGGAACGUCGUUUUUCUUAUAUUGUGGUUUUCUCUUGUUCAAGCUUCACUGGAAUUCAUUCAUUCGUCGAGGAAUGUAUCUGAUUGGCUGCUGAACUUGUUUUAGUUGUGGCAGAAGCUCAAUGGGUGGUUUUGUAUCUUAGAUAUAUUCUUCAACUAUUUUCUUUGAUACAAUACAGCGCUGUGGUUUUCAUUUACAUGUCUGAUGCUGUGCUUUGGAUUUCAGGAGAGCCAGUGGAUUUCGUAAGGGGGCUUGUUCUUUGUCAAUAGUUGGAUAGAUUGGUUUCCUUACUGGGAUGUGAAACAUGACUUCAGGGUGCUUGCUUCCGUCUACUGCGGUAAUUUUUCGUGCAUGGUAUCGUGACUUGUCCCCAUAUUUGAGUCUGAUGCAUGUUUGUUGGCAUUCAGUCAUUGGUCAAGGAAUGUGUCGAAUUGAUUGGCAUGCUGAGCUUGUCCUAGCUGUGGCAGAGGCCCUAGGAGUGGUUUAAUAUCUUAUUUAACUUCUUCAUUUAUUUUCUACGAUAUACACCAUGGCUUUGUGGUUUUCAGUUAUUUAAAUUGAAAUGCAUGUUCGAUGUUGUGCUUUGGGUUUCAGAGAGCCCGAGGAUUUUGAAAGGGAGCUUGUUCUUUGUCAGAGUUGGAUGGAUGGGUUUCUUUACUGCGAUGUGAAACCUCAACUGUACUUCUACCUUAACUUUCAGGGGAUUAUAUCAGAAUUUAGUUUCUUUGCUUGAAAAUUAACGAUGCAAUCUGUCUUUUUAUCUCUUCUCAUGUUUCCCUCCCCGAGUAAGAAGUGAUUGAUCCUGUGAUUUAUUAACUUGACUCUCUCUACCCGCUACUUGGUGGAACGUCGUUAUUCUUAUAUUAUGGUUUUCUCUUGUUCAAGCUUCACUGGAAUUCAUUGAUUCGUCGAGGAAUGUAUCUGAUCUGAUUGGCUGCUCAGCUUGUUGUAGUUGUGGCAGAAGCUCAAUGGGUGGUUUUGUAUCUUAGAUAUAUUCUUCAAUAUUUUCUUUGAUACAAUACAGCUCUGUGGUUUUCAUUUACAUGUCUGAUGCUGUGCUUUGGAUUUCAGGAGAUCCAGUGGAUUUCGUAAGGGGGCUUGUUCUUUGUCAAUAGUUGGAUAGAUUGGUUUCCUUACCGGGAUGUGAAACAUGACUUCAGGGUGCUUGCUUCCAUCUACUGCGGUAAUUUUUCGUGCAUGGUACCGUUACUUGUCCCCAUAUUUGAGUCUGAUGUAUGCACUUUCCAUACCUCUAGUUCACUCUCUCUGCCUGCUACUUGGAGGAACGUUUUUUUCUCCUAUGUUGAGGUUUUCUUUUAUUUUAGGUUUGUUGGCAUUCAAUUAUAGGUCAAGGAAUGUGUCUGAAUUGAUUGGCAUGGUGAGCUUGUCUUGGCUUAGCAGUGGCAGAGGCCCAAUGGGUGGUUUUGUAUCUUAUUUAACUUCAAUUAUUUUUUUCGAUAUACACCACGGCUUUGUGGUUUUCAGUUAUUUAAAUUGAAAUGCAUGUUCGAUGUUGUGCUUUGGGUUUCAGGAGAGCCUGAUGAUUUUGAAAGGGAGCUUGUUCUUUGUCAUAGUUGGAUGGAUCGGUUUCUUUACUGCGAUGUGAAACGUCGACUGUACUUCUACUUUUGCUUUCAGGGGAUUAUUAUCAGAAUUUUGUUUCUUUGCUUGAAAAAUAACUUUUGGAUGCAAUCUGUCUUUUUAUCUCUUCUCAGGUUUCCCCCUUGAGUAAGAAGUGGUUGAUCCUGUGAUUUAUUUGCUUUCAGGGUGCUUGCUUCCAUCUGUUGCGGCGUCUAAAAGUGGGGUUCAGUCUUAAAUAAAGUUGGACAAACUAUUCCUGAAGUGCACGAGCAUGGUUUUGUGUUGUAUUUUAUUACUUUACUCUCUCUGCCCGCUACUUGGUGGAACGUCUUUUUUCUUAUAUUGUGGAUUUUUCUUGUUCAAGCUUCAUUGGAGUUCAUUGAUUCGUCGAGGAAUGUAUCUGAUCUUAUUGGCUGCUGAGCUUGUUUUAGUUGUGGCAGAAGCUCAAUGGGUGGUUUUGUAUCUUAGAUAUAUUCUCCAAUUAUUUUCUUUGAUAAUACAGUUGUCGUUUUCAGUUAUUUAAAUUGAAAUGCCUGUUCGAUGCUGUGCUUUGGGUUUCAGGAGAGCCUGAUGAUUUUGAAAGGGAGCUUGUUCUUUGUCAUAGUUGGAUGGAUCGGUUUCUUUACUGCGAUGUGAAACGUCGACUGUACUUCUACCUUUGCUCUCAGGGGGUUAUGUCAGAUUUUAGUUUCUUUGCUUGAAAACUAACUUUCGGAUGCAAUCUGUCUUUCAUCUCUUCUCAUGUUUCCCCCCCUUGAGUAAAAAGUGACUGAUCCUGUUAUUUAUUUGCUUUCAGGGUGCUUGCUCCAUGUAUUGCGGCGUCUAAAAGUGCGGUUCAAUCUGAAGUAAAGUUGGACAGACAAACUAUUCCUGAAGUGCACGAGCAUGGUUUUGUGUCAUCUUUUAUUGCUUUACUCUCUCUGCCAGCUACUUGGUGGAACGUCUUUUUUCUUAAAUUGUGGUUUUCUCUUGUUCAAGCUUCAUUGGAAUUCAUUGAUUUGUCGAGGAAUGUAUCUGACCUGAUUGGCUGCUGAGCUUGUUUUAGUUGUGGCAGAAGCUCAAUGGGUGGUUUUGUAUCUUAGAUAUAUUCUCCAAUUAUUUUCUUUGAUAAUACAGUUGUCGUUUUCAGUUAUUUAAAUUGAAAUGCCUGUUCGAUGCUGUGCUUUGGGUUUCAGGAGAGCCUGAUGAUUUUGAAAGGGAGCUUGUUCUUUGUCAUAGUUGGAUGGAUCGGUUUCUUUACUGCGAUGUGAAACGUCGACUGUACUUCUACCUUUGCUCUCAGGGGGUUAUGUCAGAUUUUAGUUUCUUUGCUUGAAAACUAACUUUCGGAUGCAAUCUGUCUUUCAUCUCUUCUCAUGUUUCCCCCCUUGAGUAAAAAGUGACUGAUCCUGUUAUUUAUUUGCUUUCAGGGUGCUUGCUCCAUGUAUUGCGGCGUCUAAAAGUGCGGUUCAAUCUGAAGUAAAGUUGGACAGACAAACUAUUCCUGAAGUGCACGAGCAUGGUUUUGUGUCAUCUUUUAUUGCUUUACUCUCUCUGCCCGCUACUUGGUGGAACGUCUUUUUUCUUAAAUUGUGGUUUUCUCUUGUUCAAGCUUCAUUGGAAUUCAUUGAUUUGUCGAGGAAUGUAUCUGACCUGAUUGGCUGCUGAGCUUGUUUUAGUUGUGGCAGAAGCUCAAUGGGUGGUUUUGUAUCUUAGAUAUAUUCUUCAACUAUUUUCUUUGAUACAAUACAGCUCUGUGGUUUUCAUUUACAUGUCUGAUGUUGUGCUUUGGUUGUCAGGAGAGCCAUUGGUUUUGUAAGGGGCUUGUUCUUUGUCAAUAGUUGGAUAGAUUGGUUUCCUUACAGGGAUGUGAAACAUGACUGUACUUUUUUAUCUUUGCUUUUAGAUGUUUAUAUAAGAUUUUAGUUUCUUUGCGCGGGAAAGAAUUUUUGGUUGCGUUCUGUCUUUUGACUCUUCUUAUGUUCCCCACCUGACUAAGAAGUGAUUGUUCCUGUGAUUUGCAGUCAGGGUGCUUGAUUCAGUCUAUUGCGGUAGUUUCUCAAGUAUGGUAUCAUGACUUGUCCCAUUAUUUGAGUCUGAUGCAUGUACUUUCCAUACCUCUAGUUCACUCUCUCUGCCUGCUACUUGGAGAUGUUAACGGUGAAAAUUUAUCUUGGAGAAGAUUUAAGUAAUUUGAAGUUGAAUUAAAAGUGAAGGGCUUUGGCGACUACGAGAGCUGCAUUGGAGAAUAAGUUCCUUAUUUUGCUCUUUUAAGUUGAUGUAAUACAUGCUAAUUUCAUCAACUUUAUGACGUCUUCUGUAGUUUAAUUAGUUGAUGUCUUGUCUAGGUUUGUCUAUUGACAGCAAUUGGGGAAAUAUUUAUGAACUUCCAUUGAGUUCCUGUAAUUUUGUAAUGUGAGCUUUCAUGUUAAGCUGGUAGUUCAAUGAUGGGAUUAUUUUUUUGUGUCAUUUCUUGCUUAUGUUGUUGUUUAUGGAUUAUUCUUUUGCAGGACAGAUGCUGAUUUCUUAUGUUACCGUGUGUGGAUAAAGGUUUUAUUGAGUUUUGGCUUAUUUUUCUGUAGUUGUUUAUAGUUUUGGUUACUUAAGGCGAAGAUCGUUAUCUUUUUAUGUUUCAUUGCCUUGUACGUCUGUUGUAUACUAGGUGCGAACUUUGAGGAUGAAAAUGCCCUGUUCUUAAUUAGUAGAUCGGAAGGAAGAUCUCUCAAUGUCAAAGGAUGGAAGGAUUUAUGUGAGGCUUUUCUUAGCCUUCUGAAUCAGAGUUCACUGAAGAUACUUACUGCUCUACUUUAUUUUUGGAGUAGCUAUUUCAUAUGGUGUAGUGUAAGUAGUAGGAAGAUCUGAAUUAUAUGAAAAAUUGAAGCUUUAUAUGGUUCAGUUGGGUUAUUCGAUUUUGUCUAUUUAGUAGGGUUGUUGACAAGAUGGUAAUGUGAUGAUCCAGCCAUCAUGGGAGGUGAUGAUUUCAGGUUUUUAGGGUUCUACCGCUCUUGUUAAUUUUUUUGUGUUUCUUUACCAUCUUCAUUGUUGUGCAUAUAUGAAGAAGAAAUUAUUUUAAGGAGCUGAAGUUGUUCUGGCUGAAGCUGAAAUUAUUGUUUGUGUAGACACAAUUGAGCGGCGAAAGAUAUUGUUAGGCGAUAUGGUAGAUUACCUGGAUGUGUUGAGUAGUUCUUUGGUUAUUGAACUUGUUUGAAGAAUAAGUUUCUCAUUUCACUCUAUUAUGUUGAACUUGUUAAUUUGAUCAACUUCAUCAUAUCUGGGGGUUGGUUUAUUUAGUUGUUCGGUAGAUUUAUGUAUCGAAUAUGGUUGAACAGGGAAAUUUACUCGAAAUUCCGAUUCCCUUGUGUUUUUGUAGUUUGUGGCUGAGCUUUUAUGUUAAGCCUGGAAUUUUAAUGGGAAGAGCCGCUUUUCAAUUUUGCGUGUAGGUAUAUGGAUUUUCUUUUGGUUUUGCUUAAUCAUCGGUUUCUUGCUUAUGUUGUGUAUGGAUUUUAUUAUGUUGCAGGAAAGAUGUUGAUUGCUUAUGUUAUCAUGUACAGAUCUUAAGCUUCUGUUCUGUUGGUAUUUGACCUUUUACUUACGUUUGUCGUAUCUUUGGUCAUUUGGCUUAUCUGUGCUCGUGUGAGUGCAGGUUUAUCAUUUCCCUUGAAAAGGGUGUUCUCACGUUAGUAUCUCGAGGUUUGUGACUGUUAAGUUAUUAUAUAAAGCGAACAUGCUUGCUUAAGCAUUGUGAAACUACCCUACGACUUGCUGCACCUUCACGGUUACCGACUCAUUAUCCCUUUCUGUUUGAACUCGUUUGUUUUGAGCUUAGUCGAGGUUGACCCCAUUUGGCCUUAUUAUGCUAGGUUUAAGCUAUCUAUGGUAGUGAAGUGACACUAUCCGAGGGAGGCAUGCUAUUCUAGUGUGGUAUGGUUUCCUAUCUGUAGCUAUUAUUGUAAUUUAUGUUGGUCGUUAUUUGAACUUUGAAUAGAUGUUUUAUGAAGUCCACCAUUGUUUAAGGUUCCAGACUUAAGUUUACUGGAUUGUAUAAGCAUCACCUUUGGUUCAUCUGCCUUGGAUCUUCAGUAUUCAACACGGGACUGAGAUUCAGUUUCAAUGGAUACAUUUUGGCAUUUCUGUUUUACUCAAUGUGCUGAAGAUAUGUGAAACUCAACAUGCAUGGUGCCUUCUGAUUUCAAUUAGUACAUUUGGUAUUUUUGUUUUACUCAAUGUGCAGAGGGUAUCUCAAACUAGGAAACUAGACAUCAACAACGCUAUGAAAGUAGUGCUAUAACUUCAUAUUCUCUGCCCUGUUUCUUGGAGGAAUUAUUUGUUUUUAUUAAGGCUUAGCUGGUGUUAGUAAAACAGCCGGGGUCUAUCUGAUUUGGUUUACUGGGCAGAUUAUUCAAAACAUGUUAGAAUUUUCAGGCUUGAUCGUGUGGUCUACUUUUAACGUUGUAAAUACGUGACAAUCUUCUUAUCUUCGUGUGAAGGCAGCAGUGGCCCAUCUCUUGCAAUGGCUUUGUCUCAGGUCUUCUUUUUUGUCUUUUAUUUUUUUAAACAAACCUUCUUUUGAAUUUUCUCACUUAGGUUUUGGAAUAUGCAGAGUGAAACAUAUGCUUCCUAACUUAUAUGCCAAUGAGAAAGUUUACUUAUCGAGUUUCUCCAGUUUCUUUUGUAACAUAUGCUCAUUAAGCUUAUGUUCUUGUUGUCCUCGUCAAUAUUGUUCUCGUGUUGCAAAUUUAGUUGUUGGUUUGCCUCCUCCUCACAGGUCCAUUUGGUCACUACAUCCAGCUUUUCUGCGGAUAUGGGGGUUUCAUGUUCUUUGACAUAUAAGUUGUGAAGUUCUGUGAUCUUCUAUGUGGCAAUCACUUCGCAAUCAAUUUUUAAGAAAGAAACUGCUAAAUUUUAGUGUCUCUGAUGUAUAACAUCGUGCUUUGAUAACAGGGGAGCCAGUGCAUUUGGAAAGGGAGCUUGUUGUUUGUCAUGGAGGGAUUGGUUUUCUUACUGUGAUGUGCAACGGCGACUUUGCUUUUAGGAGUUUAUGUCGGGUUUUAGUUAUAGUUUCUUUGCUUGAGAAAGAAUUUUUGGUUGCAAUCUGUCUUUUGUCUCUUCUUAUGUUUCCCCAUGUCCAACAAGUGAUUGUCCUGUAAUUUGUUUGCUGUCAGGUACUUGUUUCCAGCUACUGUGAUUUAUUUAGUUGUGGCAGAAGCUCAAUCGGUGGUUUUGUAUCUUAUUUAUCUUCUUCGGCGAUUUUUUCGAUAUACAACACAGGUGUGUUUUUCAUUUAUCUAAAUUUGAAUAUGAAUCUGAUGUAUUACAUUGUGCUCUGGAUUUCAGGAGAGCCAAGAGGAUUUGGAAAGGGAGCUUAUUUUGUGUCACAGUCGGAUAGAUUGGUUCCUUAGUAGGAUGAAAAACAUCAGACUGAACUUUUAACUUCGCUUUUAGGGGUUUAUAUCAGCUUUUAAUUUUUUUGCUUCAGAAAGAAUUUUUGGUUGUGAUCUGUCUUUUGUCUGUUCUUAUGUUUUCUCCUUGACUAGAAAGUGACUGUUCCUAAAUUUAUUUGGUGUCUGGGUGCUUGCUUCCAGCUACUGUGAUUUAUUUGGUCGUGGAACACAUGAAUUUAUAGGCUGCGGAGCUUGUCUUUUUUAUCUUCUUCGGCUAUUUUCUUCAAUAUACAACACAGGAGAGCCAACCUCUGUAAUAGUUGGAUGGAUUAGUUCCCUUACUGGGAUGUGAAACAUCAACUGAACUUUUAACUCUGCUUUUCAGGGUUCAUAUUAGAUUUUAGUUUCUUUGUUUCGAAAAGAACUUUUGGUAGCAAUCUGUCUUUUGUUUCUUCUUAUGUUUCUCAUUUAUAUAAAUUUGAAUAUAAAUUUGAUGUAUACAUUGUGCUCUGGAUUUCAGGAAAGCCUAGAGGAUUUGGAAGGGAGCUUAUUCUCUGGUCAUAGUUGAAUAGAUUGGUUCCUUUCUGGGAUGUGAAAUGUCGAUAGAGCUUUUAACUUCGCUUUUAGGGGUUUAUGUCAGAUUUUAAUUUCUCCGCUUCAGCAAGAAUUGCGAUCUGUUUUUUUUUGUCUCUGCUUUUGUUUCCUCCUUGACUAGCAAGUGACUGUUCUUAUAAUUUAUCUGCUGUCAGGGUGCUUCCUUCCAGCUAUUGGAUUUAUUUGGUCGUGGAUCGUAUCUGAAUUUAUUGGCUGCGGAGCUUGUCUCAGUUGUGGCAGAAGCCCGAGGGGUGGUUUUGUAUCUUAUUUAUGUUCUUCAGCUAUUUUCUUCGAUACAUAACACAGGUUUGCUUUGAAUAUAAAUCUGAUGUAUUGCAUUGUGCUUUGGAUUUCAGGAGAGCCAACCUCUGUAAUAGUUGGAUGGAUUGGUUCCCUUACGGGGGUGGGAAGCGUCUACUGAACUUUUAACUUUGCUUUUAAGGGUUCAUGUCAGAUUUUAGUUUCUUUGUUUCGAAAAGAAUGUUUGGUUGCAAUUUGUCUUUUGUUUCUUCUUAUGUUUCCUACUUGACCAACAAGUGAUUGUUAUUUGUUCCUAUGAUUUAUUUGCUGUCAGGGUUCUUGCUUCCAGUUACUGCGUAUGUGAUUUGAUUGGCUGCGAAGCUUGUCUUAGUUAUGGCAGAAGCUUGUCUUGUUUGUCUUCUUUGGCUAUUUUCUUUGAUAUACAACACAAAACACAAUUGUGCUCUGUAUUUAAGGAGAGCUUGAGGAUUUGGGGAAGGAGCUUGUUCUCUAUGAUAGUUGGAUGGAUUGGUUUCCUUUCUGGGGUGUAACUUUGUUUGUAGGGGUUUAUAUGUGAAACUUGCGACUGAACUUUUUAACUUCGCUUUUAGAGGGUGUUUGCUUCCAGCUGUGGUGGUUUAUUUCGUCGAGGAAUGUAUCUGAUUUGAUUGGCUGCUGAGCUUGUCUUAGUUGUGGCUGAAACUUGAUGGGUGGUUUGAAUCUUUUUUAUUUUCUUCGGCUAUUUUUUUCGAUAUACAACACAGGUGUGUUUUUCAUUUAUCUAAAUUUGAAUUAAAUCUGAUGUAUUACGUUGUGCUUUGGAUUUCAGGGGAGCCAGAGAAUGGUUUGGAUUUCAGGGGAGCCAGAGAAUUUGGGAAGGAAGCUUAUUCUCUGUCAUAGUUGGAUAGAUUGGUUUCCUAACUUGGAUGUGAAAUGUUGACUCAACUUGUAACAUUGGUUUUAGGGGUUUGUAUCAGAUUUUAAUUAUUCCUAGCAAGUGAUUGUUCCUAUUUAUUUAUUUAUUUUCUGUCAGGGUGCUUGCUUCCACUGAUUUAUUUGGUCGAGGAAUGUAUUUGAAUUUAUUGGCUGCGGAGCUUGUCUUACUUGUCGCAAACGCCCGAUUGGUGGUUUUGUAUCUUAUUUAUCUUCGGCUAUUUUUUUGAUAUACAACACAGGUGUGUUUCUCAUUUAUCUAAAUUUGAAUAUAAAUCUGAUGUAUAUUGCAUUGUGCUUUGGAUUUCAGCGGAGCAAGAAGAUUUGGAAAGGAAGCUUAUUCUCUGUAAUAGUUGGAUGGAUUGGUUUCCUUACUGGGAUGUGAAACGUCGACUGUACUGGGGUUCAUGUCAGAUUUUAGUUUCUUUGUUUCGAAAAGAAUUUUUGGUUGCAAUCUUAUGUUUCCAACUUGACUCUUAUGUUUCCUACUUGACCAACAAGUGAUUGUUCCAAUAAUUUAUUUGCUGUCAGGAUGCUUGCUUCCUGCUACUGUGAUUUAUAUGGUCGAGGCUAUUUUCUUCGAUAUACAACACAGGUAUGUUUUUCAUUUAUCUGAAUUUGAAUUAAAUCUGAUGUAUUAUGUUAGCUUCGGAUUUCAGGAGAGCCAGAGGAUUUGGAGAGGGAGCUUAUUCUCUGUCAUAGUUGGAUGGAUUGGUUUCCUAACAUGGAUGUGAAACGUUGACUGAGCUUUUAACUUCGGUUUUAGGGGUUUAUAUCAGAUUUUAAUCUCUUCGCUUUAGAAAGAAUUUUUGGUUGCAAUCUGUGUUUUGUCUCUUCUUAUGUUUCUUACUCGACCAACAAGUGAUUGUUCCUAUAAUUUAUUUGCUAUCUGGGUGCUUGCUUCCAGCUACUGUAAUUUAUUUGGUCUAGGAACUUGUGCUGCGGUGCUUGUCUUCGUUGUGGCAGAAACUCGAUGGGUGGUUUUGUAUCUUGUUUAUGUUGUUCAGAGUCGAGUCUCUUAUUGCAUCAAGGAUCUCCAACAAGUCAUUAACUAUUUCGAUCGUGGGAAUGCGCAACAUAAGUUAUUAUCUCCAUUGUAGUAAUAUGACCAAUAUCUUUGCCAAAUCAGCCAGUACAGCUCGGCAUAUUUGGUAGCAAAAUUGGGAAAUGGAGCUUGUUCUCUGUCGUAGUUGGAUGAUUGGUUUCCUUACUAGCAUUUGAUUUGUCGACUGAACUUUUGACUUUGGUUUUAGGAGUUGAUAUCAGAUUUUAAUUUAUUCGCUUCCGAAAAGAAUUUUUGGUUGCAGCUGUGGAACGACUCUUCUUAUGUUUUCACCUUUGACUAAGAAGUGAUAUUGUUCCUCACUUCCUAUGGUCUGUUUGCAGUCAGGAUGCUUGCUUCCAGAUACUGUGGUUUUAUUGGCUGCAGAGCUUGUCUUAGUUGUGGCCGAAGCUCCAUGGGUGGUUUUGCAUCUUAGUUAUCUUCUUUGGAGACCAGAGGAUCGGAAAUGGAGCUUGUUCUCUUUUUUAGUUGGAUGGAUUGGUUUCCUUGGUGGGAUGUGAAAUGUCAACUGAACUUCUAUAAGUAGCUGUGGAGUCGCUGGGAGUUCCAGAUUCCAUCAUUUGAAACUCAGUGAUGGAAAUCUUGUUGCGUGGCAAUCGUUAUCUUAUAAAUUGGGACUUACAUAGUGGGACACUGCACGCGCCUUUGCAGAAGUACAAUACCCUGUCUAUGAUAUAUACUGGAGUAUAUUUGAGGAUAAAUACCACGUUCCAGCCAGUUCACUGCUGAUUCGAUUGCUAUGAGCAAUGCAGAUUUCAUAAUCACCAAUACAUAUUAAGAGAUCGAUGGAAGAUAUCCCUCGGAACAUUUUUUGGCGUAUAAUCAAAAUACGGUUGGACAGUGUGAGAGCCACACAACGUUCACUCUUCUGGGAUUAUGCAGAGUGGUUCAUGGCAUUGAUGUUUUUGACCUCAAGAUUAGUAUUGCUUCACCCAUCACUUCCCAUACUUUGAAAAGGACAAAAGACUUAUCUUUACAUGGUUCAAUUGAAAAGUUGUUAUAUGAUCCAGACCAGAUCGACCAAACACAUAGGUACUUUGAGCGACCGGUCCAAACCCAUUAAUCUUUUCCAAGGUGAGGCUUGAUCGAGUAAAAAACAUAACAGGACUGGUGGAGUGGUAUGUUAAAAAUACUAGACUCAGAUGCUGUAAACCUUGUUGUGGUUGCUGGUUACAAUGAUGUCAACAAAUCCAACGACAGGGAAGAAAUUGCUGAGAUUGAGAAGAUGCAUGACCUAAUGAAGCAGUACAACUUGAAUGGCCAAUUUAGAUGGAUGUCAGCACAGAUGAACAGCACCGCUACAUUGCUGAUGCAUGAGGAGCAUUUGUGCAACCUGCUCUCUAAGAAGCAUGUGGCCUUACAGUUGUGGAGGUGAUACUUGUGGUCUUCCAACAUUUGCUGCUGGUCCAUAUCACUCUAAUCAGGAGGGUGAACUCAUGGCAGAUUUUUUUGAGUGCUGCAAGAAGGAACCUAGCCACUGGGAUUAGAUCUCCUCUGCGGGGCUUCAGUGGAUUUUAUUACAGGAAUACUUGGAAGAUCUAUUCAGAAAGACUAAUGACACUAGCGGGUGUUCAUGGUUUUUGGAAGAAUGUCUCAAAACUUGAAAGGUGUGAGACCGGCGAUACUUAGAGAUGUUUUAUAUUCUGAAGUUCUGGGAUCUUGCAAAAUCUGUUCCAGUGGUUCCAGAAGCAGUUGGCCAUGGUCACUGAAGUAUAUUUAGAGAUGGUAUUUAUUGUUAUCAAGUAAUGUUGUCCACGAAAUCAAUUUACCUGAACAGUGUAAAAUAUCAAACAAGAAUCCAUGAACAUCCAGAUGGAUGUAUAAACGGUUUGCAAGUAGUAAUUUGUUUGGUAAAAACAAUUGAAUGAUAAGUGAUUGGAAUACAAUUUUGUUUGCAAUCUCAUGUUCUUUCAAUUCUGACGAAAACCGAUGACGGUUUGAUGGUGGCUGUCUUUCGAAGUGAGCAGAGGUUAUGGAAACAGAGUUAACUUCAUAUCAUUGUUCAUUUAACUCUGGAUGCACAACUUGGUUCAAACCAGAGUAAAAUGGGUUAUUAUUAGAAGGUAGCCAGUCAAAUGAUUCUGGUGUGAAUUGAUUUGCUUCCGUAGAAUUAUUGAUAUCUCUAUAACCUUGGUGAAAUGUUAAACUAUUGCACUCCGAAGUGUUAUGUUAUAUUUUUUUGA